UGCAGUCGAGCGAUGGAUUGAGAGCUUGCUCUCAAGAAGUUAGCGGCGGACGGGUGAGUAACACGUGGGUAACCUGCCCAUAAGACUGGGAUAACUCCGGGAAACCGGGGCUAAUACCGGAUAAUAUUUUGAACUGCAUGGUUCGAAAUUGAAAGGCGGCUUCGGCUGUCACUUAUGGAUGGACCCGCGUCGCAUUAGCUAGUUGGUGAGGUAACGGCUCACCAAGGCAACGAUGCGUAGCCGACCUGAGAGGGUGAUCGGCCACACUGGGACUGAGACACGGCCCAGACUCCUACGGGAGGCAGCAGUAGGGAAUCUUCCGCAAUGGACGAAAGUCUGACGGAGCAACGCCGCGUGAGUGAUGAAGGCUUUCGGGUCGUAAAACUCUGUUGUUAGGGAAGAACAAGUGCUAGUUGAAUAAGCUGGCACCUUGACGGUACCUAACCAGAAAGCCACGGCUAACUACGUGCCAGCAGCCGCGGUAAUACGUAGGUGGCAAGCGUUAUCCGGAAUUAUUGGGCGUAAAGCGCGCGCAGGUGGUUUCUUAAGUCUGAUGUGAAAGCCCACGGCUCAACCGUGGAGGGUCAUUGGAAACUGGGAGACUUGAGUGCAGAAGAGGAAAGUGGAAUUCCAUGUGUAGCGGUGAAAUGCGUAGAGAUAUGGAGGAACACCAGUGGCGAAGGCGACUUUCUGGUCUGUAACUGACACUGAGGCGCG
rnacentral:rRNA from 2 species